AUUGAACGCUGGCGGCAGGCUUAACACAUGCAAGUCGAACGAGUGGCGGACGGGUGAGUAAUGCUUGGGAAUCUAGCUUAUGGAGGGGGAUAACUACGGGAAACUGUAGCUAAUACCGCGUACCAUAGGAUGAGCCCAAGUGGGGUAAGGUAGUUGGUGAGGUAAAGGCUCACCAAGCCGACGAUCUCUAGCUGGUCUGAGAGGAUGACCAGCCACACUGGGAGUGAGAAACGGCCCAGAGUCCUACGGAAGGCAGCUGAGGGGAAUGUUGCGCAAUGGGGGCAACCUGACGCUGCCAUGCGGCGUGAGUGAAGAAGGCCUUCGGGUUGUAAAGUUCUUUCGGGAGCAAGGCGUUAACUACAGAAGAAGCUCCGGCUAACUCCGUGCCAGCGGCCGGGGUAAUU
rnacentral:rRNA from 1 species